rnacentral:rRNA from 1 species
AGAGUUUGAUCCUGGCUCAGGAUGAACGCUGGCGGCGUGCUUAACACAUGCAAGUCGAACGAUUAAAGCCCCUUCGGGGGUGUAUAGAGUGGCGAACGGGUGAGUAACACGUGGGCAAUCUGCCCUGUGCUUCGGGAUAACCCAGGGAAACUUGGGCUAAUACCGGAUACUCCGGUCUGACCGCAUGGUCGGAUCGGGAAAGUUCCGGCGGCACAGGAUGAGCCCGCGGCCCAUUAGCUUGUUGGCGGGGUAAUGGCCCACCAAGGCGACGAUGGGUAGCCGAGCUGAGAGGCUGAUCGGCCACACUGGGACUGAGACACGGCUCAGACUCCUACGGGAGGCAGCAGUGGGGAAUUUUGCGCAAUGGGCGAAAGCCUGACGCAGCAACGCCGCGUGCGGGAUGAAGGCUCUCGGGUCGUAAACCGCUUUCAGCAGGGACGAAAUG